GUUUAACUGACAUUGUUACAGCCACCAUUUUGUCAGAUCUGUGACCAAGGAAAUAUUGACAGACAUGUUUUAGAAACUUCCCUAAUGCCCUUGUUGGAGCAUUAUCUUUUGCUUCCAGUAAAAACUACAGAGGCAAACUCCUUGUCUUCAACCUUUAAUGGAAGUGUGUCCAGCUCACUGCACAGCUGUGCACCUACACACAUAGGCAGUGUCCAGUUGUGGAACAAGGUCAUGGCCUCCACUCCAGAACGGACCCUCUUUCUUUGUAGGUUUUCUCCAGGUUCUCCAAGUUCCUCCCUUAUUCCAAUGACAUGCAGGUCAGGUGAACCAGAAACUGUAAAUUACCUUUCCC